rnacentral:rRNA from 1 species
AUGGAGAUGGACUGCCUGGAGGUGGUAGGCCUCUGGAACACUUGCCACAACUCACGUUCUGUUGUGGCACCGAUUCUUAUGGAAAUUGGGGAGCUGUCUGUUAGUUUUAACUCUUUUAGUAUUCAACAUGUUUCUAGAUCUUCCAACCUUCCGGCUCAUCUUUGCGCCAAGCGAGCCUAUUCGCUGCAAGUGACCGAGGCUUGGACAGAUAAUGUACCUCCAUUCCUGGUUGGUAGCCUCAUGGCGGACCGUGCCAGGUGCGCUUUUGUUGAAUAA